UACAGAGGGUGCAAGCGUUGUUCGGAAUUAUUGGGCGUAAAGGGCGCGUAGGCGGUGCGGUAAGUCUGUAGUGAAAUCUCUGGGCUCAACUCAGAGUCUGCUAUAGAAACUGCCGUGCUUGAGUGUGGGAGAGGUGAGUGGAAUUCCCGGUGUAGCGGUGAAAUGCGUAGAUAUCGGGAAGAACACCCGUGGCGAAGGCGGCUCUCUGGAACGCAACUGACGCUGAGA
rnacentral:rRNA from 1 species